rnacentral:rRNA from 1 species
AGCGAACGCUGGCGGCAGGCUUAACACAUGCAAGUCGAACGCCCCGCAAGGGGAGAGGCAGACGGGUGAGUAACACGUGGGAACGUACCCUUUGGUUCGGAAUAACUUGGGGAAACUCAAGCUAAUACCGGAUAAGCCCUUAUGGGGGAAGGUUUACUGCCGAAGGAUCGGCCCGCGUCUGAUUAGCUAGUUGGUGAGGUAAUGGCUCACCAAGGCGACGAUCAGUAGCUGGUCUGAGAGGAUGAUCAGCCACACUGGGACUGAGACACGGCCCAGACUCCUACGGGAGGCAGCAGUGGGGAAUAUUGGACAAUGGGGGCAACCCUGAUCCAGCCAUGCCGCGUGAGUGAUGAAGGCCUUAGGGUUGUAAAGCUCUUUUACCCGGGACGAUAAUGACUGUACCGGGAGAAUAAGCCCCGGCUAACUUCGUGCCAGCCGCCGCUGUAA